UACGUAGGCAGCAAGCGUUGUUCGGAGUUACUGGGCGUAAAGGGCGUGUAGGCGGUUCUUUAAGUUUGGUGUGAAAUCUCCCGGCUCAACUGGGAGGGUGCGCCGAAUACUGAGGGACUAGAGUACGGGAGAGGAAAGUGGAAUUCCUGGUGUAGCGGUGAAAUGCGUAGAUAUCAGGAGGAACACCGGUGGUGUAGACGGCUUUCUGGACCGACACUGACGCUGAGACACGAAAGCGUGGGUAGCAAACAGG
rnacentral:rRNA from 1 species